CUGCAUCUCUGACAGACCUAGAGCAGUUAAUGUCUGCUGCUAAUGUUUACACUACAGAUGCAAGAAAAAGUUCCUCACACUAUCUGUCUGUCUGGUUGUGACAGCCAAGAUUGAAUGGGUGAAUACAGGA
rnacentral:snoRNA from 1 species